GAAGUCUACGUCCAGAAACUUGCCCACCACUCCAGGCAUCUUGUAAAGCAAAUGAGCUGAAUAGAAAUGGGAUAAAAAGUAAAUUUUGUACAACCAGUGUACUAUCACUUUGAAAACUGGUCCACGGCACAAGGUCCUUUAUUUGGAAAAAAAUCUAUUCCUCCAUUCUCCAAUGAUCUAACAUGCCAUUUAACAACAUUGUAGGUUUAUUUCGAUGCCAAAGAAAAUGUUUUUGGACAGCACAAUGGUGUAGUGGUUAACACUGUCAGCUCAUAGCAAGAGGUUCUCCAGUUUGAUUCUCGGCUGCGGGCCUUCGCAUGUCCUUCCUGCAUUCAUAUGGGUUUCCUCCAGGUACUCUGGUUUCCUCCCACAUUCCAAAGACAUGCUUCUGGAGCAUUUCUACACGGGCCAGGCUCUGUGCUAUUCUGACUUUCCCAGUUAACAAAUAUUAAAUAAAUAAAUGUUUUCUGAAA